rnacentral:tRNA from 1 species
GCCCAGGUGGCGAAAUUGGCAGACGCACUACCUUGAGGUGGUAGCGCCCGAAAGGGCAUGGAGGUUCAAGUCCUCUCCUGGGCA